GCCUGGGUGGCUCAGUUAGUUGAGUGUCUGACUUCAGAUCAGGUCAUGAUCUCACGGUUCAUGGGUUUGAGCCCCAUGUCGGGCU
rnacentral:tRNA from 1 species